GGGGUGGAGGCCUCCUUCUCCUGCAGGGGCCAUUUGCUUAGCCUACGCGAAUAAAUAGACUGGCUGUGAAUGCCCCCAGCCUGCACGGGGAGGAAGGGCUUGAGUCAAGCAAGUGUCAGGUUAAGAGAAGCAACUGAGUCAGAACACCCUUCUCAAAAUGGCGUGUAAAGAGGAGAGAGAGGCUGAAGAUUACAAGAGGAGGGGAAGAAGAUCUUCACAGGGCCAUGAUCCUAAGGAACCAGAACAAUUGAGAAAGCUGUUUAUUGGCGGUCUGAGCUUUGAAACUACAGACGAUAGCUUAAGAGAACACUUUGAAAAAUGGGGCACGCUCACAGACUGUGUGGUGAUGAGAGAUCCACAGACAAAACGUUCUCGCGGCUUUGGUUUCGUGACAUACUCCUGUGUGGAAGAGGUGGAUGCUUCCAUGGCAGCUCGGCCCCACAAGGUUGAUGGCCGUGUGGUGGAACCAAAAAGAGCAGUUUCUAGAGAAGAUUCUGUGAAGCCUGGUGCCCAUUUAACAGUGAAGAAAAUAUUUGUGGGAGGCAUUAAAGAAGAUACAGAAGAAUAUCAUUUAAGAGAUUAUUUUGAAAAAUAUGGCAAAAUCGAAACCAUAGAAGUAAUGGAAGACAGGCAGAGUGGAAAGAAAAGAGGGUUUGCCUUUGUAACUUUUGAUGAUCAUGAUACAGUUGACAAAAUUGUUGUCCAGAAAUACCACACUAUAAAUGGACAUAACUGUGAGGUGAAGAAAGCUCUCUCUAAGCAAGAAAUGCAGACUGCCACUUCUCAGAGAAGUCGUGGUAGCAGUUCAGGCAGUUUUGUCAGUCGUGGGAACUUUGGCAGCAGUGGUGGAAGUUAUGGCAGAGGUGGAGGUUUUGGUGGCCGAGGAGGCUACAGUGGUGGUGGCGGCGGCGGCGGCAGCGGCAGCAGAGGAAAUUUCGGGAGUGGUGAUGGAUACAAUGGCUUUGGUGAUGGUGGAAGCUAUGGAGGAAGCCCUGGAUAUGGUAGCAGAGGAGGUUACGGUGGCAGCCCAAGCUAUGGAAACCCAGGUGGUGGAUAUGGUGGAGGAGGUGGAGGCUAUGAUGGUUACAAUGAAGGAGGAAGCUUUGGUGGCAGUUACGGUGGCAGUGGAAGCUAUAAUGACUUUGGCAAUUAUAGUGGACAGCAGGCCUCAAGCUACGGUCCCAUCAAAGGAGGAGGCAGCUUCAGUGGCAGAAGCUCGGGCAGUCCUUAUGGUGGUGGAUAUGGAUCAGGAGGAGGAAGUGGUGGUUAUGGUGGGCGAAGAUUCUAAAAACAGCCAGGAUCUGGGCUGCAGUUCUUAGCAGGAGAGAGCGAGGAAUUGUCAGGAAAGCUGCAGGUUACUUUGAGACAGUCGUCCCAAAUGAAUUAGAGGAACUGUAAAAUCUACCACAGAAGGAGCGAUGAACCAUAGUCAGAAAAGUUACUGCAGCUUAAACAGGAGACCCUUCUUAAGGACUGUCAUAGCCACAGUUUGCAAAGAGUGCAGCUAUUGAUUUAAUGCAAUGUAGUGUUUAGAUGUACAUUCCUGACUCUCUCUUUUUUUUUAAUUUGUUGUUGUAGUUUUGUCUUUUCUUCAUAAAUCAGGUAUAUUGCCCUGUAAAUUUGUGGUAGUGGUAUCAGGAAUUAAAAAUAACUGAGGAACUUUUAAUUUUUUCAACACUUGUGUAGUUCAGUUUUUUUCUUACAAAAACUUCUUUAAAUAAAGAAAUGUAGUUUUAGGGUAUAUUCUUGCUAGGAACAGAAUCAGUGCAUUAUAAUCUGUAUUAAUUUAAACUAUAGAAAUGCUGAAUCGUUUACAAAUCUUAGUUUUUCUGCGUGUGUAACCAAAUGAAAUGAGUUCCACAUGCAGACAGAGAGAUGUUUUCAUUAAAGCUUGCUUAGCUGUAAUAAUUAGGACUGAGUCAUUUAAACCAGUGCUUGUGAAAUAUAAAAGGCUUUACUUUUGAAUGAAAAUCCCAGAUAACUUCUGGUUUGUGCCUAUUUUAAUUUGUAGUCUUGUUUCUUAGCUUAAGUCUUAGUAAAUAAGCUUUGAAUGAGAUCUUUUAUAGCCUUAUUCAGUUUGCCUCCUAUUUUGUUGGUAUGUGUAGGAGCUAUAUUAAGCACCGGCAGAACAAGUUUCUGCCUUUUAUAACUAUCGAGGCUUAAUCCCACCCUGCCCCCAUGGGAAACAGAUUAUGUUCACACACGUAAUGGAAUUAAAACUUUGAAGUCAAUAUUCUGGGUCUGUUACUUAGUUUGUAACUGUAUAGUUUUAUUUAUAUUUCUGCUCCUCAGAACAUGGGUUCAUUUGUAAUGGUUAAUAUUAUUACUGUGUGCAAUUCUGUGUGCCCCCUUUAUCUGACUGAAACUUGCAGCAAAGGGACAGUCCCCCUGAUUUCUUUCUAAAGGAACAAUGAGUAAACACGUACUUUUCACACACUUUCUAAUGCCCCAAGCGUUGGCCUUGAAGGUGAAGUGAAAGCAGAUCCAGCUGAAGGACACAAUCUGGGAUGAAUGUAUUACACUUGUCAGUAAUGGAAAUCCGGUAGCUGGAACUAAACCGAUACUUCUGUGUGUCAGAAUUUUGUGUUCCGUACUCUACUACGUUCACAACAGUGGAUGUGGUUUACUCCUUCCUUUACCGAAAUUUGUCUACAGCCAUGUUCCCUAAUAAUCUGCUGUCCUCAAUCUGAUCAGACUUCUCUUUUAACUAUUACCAGAGCAGUGCUUUCUGUCAAUACACAUCCUGAAGAGUAGGGCACAGUGAGUAGACAAAAUAUACUUGAAUUUCUCACCUUGUUACUAUUUUGCUAGACCAAAGAAACAGUAUAAGGUAAACAUGAUUUCAGUAUAGGAAUGGAUUCUUAGGGAUUAUAAUAUGUUGCUCAGACACAAGGCACACAGCCAUGGUUGUUGGUAUUUAAUCACAGAGUACUGUGAAUAAAUCUCAAGCACAAGCCAUUUGCUCAACAAGCUCAAAAACACUGAUAUAUACCCAUGAAGGUUCAUAAUAUUACACGAGUGCAUUUUAAGGUUGGAGUUUGGCCAUUGGGCUAUGAGUGUGACCUUUAUAUUUUUAGGAAAUUAUGAUCUUAUUCCAAGAGGUGAAACUUGUUGAAAGAGCAUCAGUUUGGUAUUGUGGUGUGGAAUGUUCACAUGGCAGAAUUGUACAUACAAAUUUGUUUGUAUAAGGCUAGUUUAGAUGGAAAUAUGGGAAGGACAGCUUAUGGACCGUCAGGUCUUGGGGCUGUAGCUCCCUUCAUUGAUUUAUUGCACUUACACACAGUCAGCUAAUUAAAAACUAUUUUACUUUUGACUCUGCCAGCUAGGGAUAUUGGGAGCUGUGGUUCAGCAUCAUCUGGAGGGCCUUAGGUUGCCCAUUCUGAUCUAAAUCCUCUCUUCUAGAUCUACUGUUUGGAGGGACAGAAUUGGAGGGUGGAUUAACGGACUGUUACCUGUUCUUCACAGAGGGUGGGAAAUCUUGGUUGUACAUUGAGGAAACGUUCUUCUAGUAUAUUAACCCAUUUUGAAAUUCUUGCAAGUUGACGGUUGUUGGUUUCAAGUGGCUUAGGCCUAGUUCUCUGUGAACGUGGAGAAGAGCAAGCAGAGGACAGUGAUUAACCAGCUUUAAAGAUUCUAGGAUGUACCUUUUAGCCAAAGUGUGGAUCAAAGGAGACUCAGACAGGACUUCAGCAGCCUAUUGUGUAUGUGGACAAGUCAGCAUAAUUACACAAUGACGAGGCAGCAAGAGCAACAGCUUCAACUUCCAGAAAAGUGAAGGCAUAAGAUACUAUGCUGAUAGUGAGCAGCUUUCCAAAAGCUAGUUAAAAUCUGCCCAUCCCAUCUGAAAUGUCGAAGAAAGUCUAGCAAGAGUUCUUCACCAGUUGGAACCUCCUUGAGUCAUAGCUACUUGAGUUGACCCAGAGUCAUAGGUCUAGCAUUUAGACCUGAAAGGAAGGGGAAUAAGAAUAGAUUGUAGAAGAAACCGCUGCUUGAUCAGAGGCAGAUCUCUUUAUCUUCUGGAAACCUCUUGGUUUGUUAAGGCUCUCUAAUACAGUAUUGAAAUAGUGAUGUGCCCAUUAACAAUAUUCUGGGCUUUGAAAAUCCAGCUUCUGUGGUGAAAACAAAUUAUGCAGAUUUAAGGUGAGUGCCAAUACUUUAAUUCUAUUUUGAAAGGGUAACCCCUACAGGAUGACACUGAAAUUCAAAUCUGGCUGGUUUACAGAUGAUAUUUAACAUUUAUAGUGCUCUGGUAUGGGGUCCUCUUAGAAUCAUUGAAGAACUCUAGAAGAUAUCACUCAGCAUUAUUCAUCCGUUCUGGACGGCACUGGGGAUAAUGGCCAAGGUACUGACUGACUUCCUGAGGAUUCUGUCAUCUUAACUACAGCAGCCGUGCUUUUGGAAGUGUAGGAAAGAGAUUUAUGUUGUUGACUCGUUUUUAGAGAGGGAGAAACGUAUGUGAUUUCCUAGUGUCAAUUUGGGGAUUUCUAAGUAAAUAAUAUGGUAAAUUUGGGUAUAGGAACUCAGGUGAGCAAUAUGGACUUUCUGAUGGUAACGUUCUUAAUUUCCCAGUUGCAGGAAGGAAGACCAGUCACUUGCUGGUGAGGAAUUGAGCAUAUGGAGACUUUUCAAAAUAAAUGUCUUUCUUACAGGCAUCAGAGGCUGACUGGUAGUCUACAGUUAGGAAAGGAAAAGAAGAUCUGAACUCCACACUCACUUGGCUCUUUUCCAAGACAACUGUGCAGGUCACUGUCAAUUGCAAGGUGACAGAUGCAAGACAACGUGACCUCUUCUUCAUGGUGAAAUAAAAUGUGAAAUCCUUAAGUGUAACAGAGAAGUAACUAAUGGCUGUAACAGGAGAAAUUGAUUGUGGAGUUUGCUAUCUCAAACCUGUUUUGAUCAAAGUUUACAAUAAAGUGCCAUUAUAAAUUGGCAAAUCUUUU